UUGUUUUUACUUUCAAAGCCAAAGCAUUCAUAUUAGCCAUGACAACUGUGUAUUAUUUCUUUUCUUUCAAAGUCCCAAAAUGAGAGAGUAUGUUUCCUUCUUUUUAAGAGACCUAACUCAUUUCUCCACUUCUUCAAAGAUUAGGUUUCGUUCCUUUAAUAAAUUUCUAAUCUAGCUAGGAAGGAGAAGAAGAAGAAGAGUAGAAACAAUAGUUUGCAGUGCGUGUUCUUCUUGGUAUGGGGAGAAUGUCGAAGAGGUGGCACAGUUGGCUGAUUGAACAUGUUCGAAGUGUCGAGACUUUUGCAAUCGUAGUUUCUUCUAGAAGCGACAAGGUGAACCGUAUCAAUCUCUUAUAUCGUAUUGUCAAGGAAAAGGAAUUUUGGAUCAGAAGCAGGAAACUGAGAAGAUAUAUUCAAGACGAAAAUUCAAGACAAGCAAAAGCAGUAAAAGAAGCGAAACUUAUGAUUGCUGCAACUAAGGAAAAGGUAAAGUGUCUUGUGCAGAGGUUGCAGAAUGAGAAGGAUGUAAAAGUACAAGAUGAAGUUGUUACAUCACCUGAAGAAAGCUGUAGUUUAUAGUCCUGCAGAGAAGGAUGAAGUUGAUAAAUAUAUUUCUUCAAGGGCUAAAAGACUUAAGAGCUCUCAAACAAGUUUGUAGGAGUUUGUGUUUUAUGUUAAUUGUUCUUAAUAGCAUGACGCUUGCCAAAACACUCACUCCAUCAUGGAUUUUGUGGAUAUCUCUAUGUGGUGGCCGUUCCUCUCAUUUGUUUUUGGAUACAAGGGACCUUAAUUAUUCUGAUCAUUGUAUAUAUAUUUUUUGUAUUUUAUUUUAGUGGAAUACGAAAUGAAAUUAUUUUUUUAAUUGAUA